rnacentral:rRNA from 1 species
CUAAUACCGCAUAACGUCNCAAGACCAAAGAGGGGGACCUUCGGGCCUCUUGCCAUCAGAUGUGCCCAGAUGGGAUUAGCUUGUAGGUGAGGUAACGGCUCACCUAGGCGACGAUCCCUAGCUGGUCUGAGAGGAUGACCAGCCACACUGGAACUGAGACACGGUCCAGACUCCUACGGGAGGCAGCAGUGGGGAAUAUUGCACAAUGGGCGCAAGCCUGAUGCAGCCAUGCCGCGUGUAUGAAGAAGGCCUUCGGGUUGUAAAGUACUUUCAGCGAGGAGGAAGGCGAUAAGGUUAAUAACCUUGUUGAUUGACGUUACUCGCAGAAGAAGCACCGGCUAACUCCGUGCCAGCAGCCGCGGUAAUACGGAGGGUGCAAGCGUUAAUCGGAAUUACUGGGCGUAAAGCGCACGCAGGCGGUCUGUCAAGUCGGAUGUGAAAUCCCCGGGCUCAACCUGGGAACUGCAUUCGAAACUGGCAGGCUGGAGUCUUGUAGAGGGGGGUAGAAUUCCAGGUGUAGCGGUGAAAUGCGUAGAGAUCUGGAGGAAUACCGGUGGCGAAGGCGGCCCC